rnacentral:rRNA from 1 species
GAUGAACGCUGGCGGCGUGCCUAAUACAUGCAAGUCGAGCGAACAGACGAGGAGCUUGCUCCUUUGACGUUAGCGGCGGACGGGUGAGUAACACGUAGGUAACCUACCUAUAAGACUGGGAUAACUUCGGGAAACCGGAGCUAAUACCGGAUAAUAUUUCGAACCGCAUGGUUCGAUAGUGAAAGAUGGCUUUGCUAUCACUUAUAGAUGGACCUGCGCCGUAUUAGCUAGUUGGUAAGGUAACGGCUUACCAAGGCAACGAUACGUAGCCGACCUGAGAGGGUGAUCGGCCACACUGGAACUGAGACACGGUCCAGACUCCUACGGGAGGCAGCAGUAGGGAUUCUUCCGCAAUGGGCGAAAGCCUGACGGAGCAACGCCGCGUGAGUGAUGAAGGUCUUCGGAUCGUAAAACUCUGUUAUUAGGGAAGAACAAACGUGUAAGUAACUGUGCACGUCCUGACGGUACCUAAUCAGAAAGCCACGGCUAACUACGUG